GCAUACUUGGCCUUAUCGAAGGCAUCUUCAUAAAAGAAGGUGGUGCUUGCAAACACCGGGAUGUU
rnacentral:tRNA from 1 species